rnacentral:rRNA from 1 species
CCAAGCUAAUAAGAGCCAACGGUGAAUGCCUUGGCGCCAAGAACCGAUGAAGGACGUGAGUGACUGCGAAAAGCUCCGGGGAGCUGGCAAACAAGCUUUGAUCCGGAGAUGUCCGAAUGGGGAAACCCGGCCCGCAAGGGUCAACCUUGACUGAAUACAUAGGUCAAGCGUAGCGAACCUGGUGAACUGAAACAUCUAAGUAACCAGAGGAACAGAAAUCAACCGAGAUUCCCAGAGUAGCGGCGAGCGAAAUGGGAUCAGCCUCCAAUUUUUAGCACUUGAACUAAUCAAACCGUCUGGAAAGUCGGGCCAUAGUGGGUGAUAGCCCCGUAGAUGAAAGUUUGAGUGUGGAACUAGGGUUGGAACAAGUAGGACGGGACACGUGAAAUCUUGUCUGAAUAUGGGGGGACCAUCCUCCAAGGCUAAAUACUCGUAAUCGACCGAUAGUGAACCAGUACCGUGAGGGAAAGGUGAAAAGAACCCCGGGAGGGGAGUGAAAUAGAUUCUGAAACCGUAUGCAUACAAACAGUAGGAGCCCUUCGGGGUGACUGCGUACCUUUUGUAUAAUGGGUCAGCGACUUACAUUCAGUAGCAAGCUUAACCGAUAGGGGAGGCGUAGCGAAAGCGAGUCCUAAUAGGGCGUCUUAGUUACUGGGUGUAGACCCGAAACCAAGUGAUCUAUCCAUGGCCAGGAUGAAGGUGCCGUAACAGGUACUGGAGGUCCGAACCCACAAAUGUUGAAAAAUUUGGGGAUGAGCUGUGGAUAGGGGUGAAAGGCUAAACAAACUUGGAGAUAGCUGGUUCUCUCCGAAAACUAUUUAGGUAGUACCUCGUAUCUUACUCUCGGGGGUAGAGCACUGUUAUGGCUAGGGGGUCCUUAAGGACUUACCAAACCAUUGCAAACUCCGAAUACCGAGAAGUACAAUUACGGGAGACAGACAGCGGGUGCUAACGUCCGUUGUCAAGAGGGAAACAACCCAGACCGCCAGCUAAGGUCCCAAAUAUAUGCUAAGUGGUAAACGAAGUGAGAAGGCCCAGACAGCCAGGAGGUUGGCUUAGAAGCAGCCACCCUUUAAAGAAAGCGUAAUAGCUCACUGGUCGAGUCGUCUCGCGCGGAAGAUGUAACGGGGCUAAGCAUAUAACCGAAGCUGCGGAUGCAUAUUUAUAUGCAUGGUAGGAGAGCGUUCUGUAAGUCUGUGAAGGUGUUCUGUGAGGAAUGCUGGAGAUAUCAGAAGUGCGAAUGCUGACAUGAGUAGCGAUAAAGGGAGUGAAAGGCUCCCUCGCCGAAAGCCCAAGGUUUCCUGCGCAACGUUCAUCGGCGCAGGGUGAGUCGGCCCCUAAGGUGAGGCAGAAAUGCGUAGCUAAUGGGAAACAGGUUAAAAUUCCUGUACCUCGAUUUAAUGCGAUGUGGG